GACGAACGCUGGCGGCGUGCUUAACACAUGCAAGUCGAACGGAAAGGCCCUGCUUUUGUGGGGUGCUCGAGUGGCGAACGGGUGAGUAACACGUGAGUAACCUGCCCUUGACUUUGGGAUAACUUCAGGAAACUGGGGCUAAUACCGGAUAGGAGCUCCUGCUGCAUGGUGGGGGUUGGAAAGUUUCGGCGGUUGGGGAUGGACUCGCGGCUUAUCAGCUUGUUGGUGGGGUAGUGGCUUACCAAGGCUUUGACGGGUAGACGGCCUGAGAGGGUGACCGGCCACAUUGGGACUGAGAUACGGCCCAGACUCCUACGGGAGGCAGCAGUGGGGAAUAUUGCACAAUGGGCGGAAGCCUGAUGCAGCAACGCCGCGUGCGGGAUGACGGCCUUCGGGUUGUAAACCGCUUUCGCCUGUGACGAAGCGUGAGUGACGGUAAUGGGUAAAGAAGCAUCGGCUAACUACGUG
rnacentral:rRNA from 1 species